GGACGAGAGUCUGAACCAGCCGAAUCGCGUGAAGGAAGACUGCCCUACGGGUUGUAAACUUCUUUUGUACAGGAAUAAAAGACAUUACGUGUAAUGUAUUGCAUGUACUGUACGAAUAAGCAUCGGCUAACUCCGUGCCAGCAGCCGCGGUAAUACGGAGGAUGCGAGCGUUAUCCGGAUUUAUUGGGUUUAAAGGGUGCGCAGGCGGGAUUUUAAGUCAGCGGUGAAAUUUUCAGGCUCAACCUGAACACUGCCGUUGAAACUGGGAUUCUUGAGUAUGGAUGAAGUAGGCGGAAUUCGUUGUGUAGCGGUGACAUGCUUAGAUAUAACGAGGAACUCCGAUUGCGUAGGCAGCUUACUAAGCCAUAACUGACGCUCAAGCACGAAAGCGUGGGGAUCAAACAGGAUUAGAUACCCUGGUAGUCCACGCCGUA
rnacentral:rRNA from 1 species